rnacentral:tRNA from 1 species
AGAGAGGUGGCAGAGUGGUCGAUUGCGGCGGUCUUGAAAACCGUUGACUGUUAAAGGUCCGGGGGUUCGAAUCCCUCCCUCUCUA